GACGAACGCUGGCGGCGUGCCUAAUACAUGCAAGUCGAGCGGAUCUCGAGGGGCUUGCCCCUUGAGAUUAGCGGCGGACGGGUGAGUAACACGUGGGCAACCUGCCUGUAAGACUGGGAUAACACCGGGAAACCGGUGCUAAUACCGGAUAAUUCUUUCCCUCACAUGAGGGAAAGCUGAAAGUCGGUUUCGGCUGACACUUACAGAUGGGCCCGCGGCGCAUUAGCUAGUUGGUGAGGUAACGGCUCACCAAGGCGACGAUGCGUAGCCGACCUGAGAGGGUGAUCGGCCACACUGGGACUGAGACACGGCCCAGACUCCUACGGGAGGCAGCAGUAGGGAAUCUUCCGCAAUGGACGAAAGUCUGACGGAGCAACGCCGCGUGAGUGAUGAAGGCCUUCGGGUCGUAAAACUCUGUUGUUAGGGAAGAACAAGUAUCGGAGUAACUGCCGGUACCUUGACGGUACCUAACCAGAAAGCACGGCUAACUACGUGCCAGCAGCCGCCGUAAAAC
rnacentral:rRNA from 1 species